rnacentral:rRNA from 1 species
UACACUCCUGCGGGAGGCAGCAGUGGGGAAUAUUGGACAAUGGGCGCAAGCCUGAUCCAGCCAUGCCGCGUGAGUGAUGAAGGCCCUAGGGUUGUAAAGCUCUUUCACCGGUGAAGAUAAUGACGGUAACCGGAGAAGAAGCCCCGGCUAACUUCGUGCCAGCAGCCGCGGUAAUACGAAGGGGGCUAGCGUUGUUCGGAUUUACUGGGCGUAAAGCGCACGUAGGCGGACUAUUAAGUCAGGGGUGAAAUCCCGGGGCUCAACCCCGGAACUGCCUUUGAUACUGGUAGUCUUGAGUUCGAGAGAGGUGAGUGGAAUUCCGAGUGUAGAGGUGAAAUUCGUAGAUAUUCGGAGGAACACCAGUGGCGAAGGCGGCUCACUGGCUCGAUACUGACGCUGAGGUGCGAAAGCGUGGGGAGCAAACAGGAUUAGAAACCCGGGUAGUCC